rnacentral:rRNA from 1 species
CACGUAGGGAGCAAGCGUUGUCCGGAUUUAUUGGGCGUAAAGCGCUCGUAGGUGGUUCGGUAAGUCAGGUGUGAAACCUCCAGGCUCAACCUGGAGACGCCACUUGAUACUGCUGUGACUGGAGUCCGGUAGGGGAGCGUGGAAUUCCUGGUGUAGCGGUGAAAUGCGCAGAUAUCAGGAGGAACACCAGCGGCGAAGGCGGCGCUCUGGGCCGGUACUGACACUGAGGAGCGAAAGCGUGGGUAGCAAACAGG